GAUGAACGCUAGCUACAGGCUUAACACAUGCAAGUCGAGGGACCGGCGCACGGGUGAGUAACACGUAUCCACCCUGCCCUUUACUCGGGGAUAGCCUUUCGAAAGCAAGAUUAAUACCCGAUAUAAAGGAUGGGGAUGCGUUCCAUUAGGUUGUUGGUGAGGUAACGGCUCAACAAACCUUCGAUGGAUAGGGGUUCUGAUAGGAAGGUCCCCCACAUUUGAACUGAGACACGGUCCACACUCCUACGGGGCGCAGCAGUGUGGAAUAUUAGUGAAUGGGCGCUAGCCUGAACCAGCCAAGUAGCGUGAAGGAUGAAUGCUUAUGGGUCGUAAAUUGUUUUUAUAUAAGAAUCUGUAUUAUAUGAGUAAGGAUCGGCUAACUCCGUGCCAGCAGCCGCGGUAAUUC
rnacentral:rRNA from 1 species